rnacentral:lncRNA from 10 species
UAAUUUUACAAAAACAGAGUUUCCAACCUGUUGAAUCAAAGAAAAAGUUUUGCACUGUGAGAUGAAUGCACAUAUCACAAAGAAUUUUCAUAGAUGCCUUGUUUCUGGUUUUUAUUGCGGGAUAUUUGGUUUUUCACUAUAGGUCUCAAUGAGCUCAGAAAUUACAAUUUCUAGAUUCUACAAGGAGAGUGUUUCCAAGCUGUUCAAUCAAAAUAAUAAUUUAACUCUGAGAUGAAUCAACAUAUCACAAGCAUUUUUCACAGAUAGCUUCUUUCUAGUUUUUAUCACAAGAUAGUCUGUUUUAUAUUAUAGGCCUCAAUGGGCUCAGAAAUGUCCCUUUGGAGAUUUUACAAAAAGAGUAUUUCCAAUCAGGUGAUUCAAAACACAAGUUAUAUUUGGUGAGAUGAAUGUACACAUUGCAAAGCAUUUUUUCAAAUAGCUUGCUUCUAAUUUUUAUCACGAAAUAUUUGGUUUCUUACUGUAGGUCUCAAUUGACUCAUAAAUGUCCCUUCAUAGAUUCUACAACAACAGUGUUUUUAACCUAGUGAAUCAAACAAAGGGUUUCAUUCAGUGAGAUAAGUCCACGCAUUACAAAGCACUUUCAGAGCAAGCUUGUUUCUAGUUUUUAUCAUGGGCUAUUCAGUGUGUAACAAUAGGAGUCGAAGGCCUCAGAAAUGUCCCUUCGUAGAUUCUACAACAACAGUGUUUCCAACCUAUUUAAUUAAAGCAAAGGUUUAACUUUCUAAGAUGAAUCCAGACACCACAAAGCAUUUUUAUACUUGCCUUGUUUCUAGUUUUUAUUGUGGGAUAUUCGAUUUUUCAACAUAGGCCUGAGUGGGCUCAGAAAUGUCUUUUCAUUGAUUCUACAAAAAGAGUGUUUCCAACCCGUUUAAUUAAAACAAAGAUUUAACUCUGUGAGAUGAAUCCAAACAUCACAAAGCAUUUCCACAGAUAGCUUGCUUCUGGUUUUUAUCACUGGAUAUUCCGUUUUUCACUAUAGGCCUCAAUGAGCUCAGAAAUGUUCCUUCAUAGAUUCUACAAAAAGCAAGUUUCCAAGGUGAUGAAUCAAAACAAAAGUUUAAAUCUGUGAUGUAAAUCCAGAAAACCCAAAGCAUUUUAACUUAUAGCUUGUUUCUACUUUUUAACAUGGAAUAUUCAGUUUUUCAUUAUAGGCCUCAGUGAGCUCUGAAAUGUUCCUUAGUAGAUGCUACAAAAAGAGUGUUUCAACCUAUUGAAUCAAAACAAAUGUGUAACUUUGUAAGAGGAAUUCCCACAUGGCAAAGCAUUUGCACAGAUAGGUUGUUUGUACUUUUCAUUGCGGGAUACUCUGUAUUUUAUUAUAAGCAUCAAUGCUCCCAGAAAUCUCCCUUCAUAGAUUCUACAACAAGAGUGUUUCCAACCUGUUGAAUCAAAACAAAGGUUUAACUCUGUUAGAUGAAUCCACAUAUUACAAUCCAUUUUCAGAGAUAACUUUUCUCUGGUUUUAUUUUGGGAUAUUCUAUUUUUCAGUAUAGGUUUCAAUUGGCUCAGAAAUGUCCCUUCAUAGAU